rnacentral:rRNA from 1 species
UACAGAGGUCUCAAGCGUUGUUCGGAUUCAUUGGGCGUAAAGGGUGCGUAGGUGGCGCUGUAAGUCGGGUGUGAAAUUUCGGAGCUUAACUCCGAAACUGCAUUCGAUACUGCGGUGCUUGAGGACUGGAGAGGAGACUGGAAUUCAUGGUGUAGCAGUGAAAUGCGUAGAGAUCAUGAGGAAGACCAGUGGCGAAAGGCGGGUCUCUGG